CGUAGGUGAACCUGCGGAAGGAUCAUUAACGAAUCAUAAGUCGGUCCUCUGUGCUGGUGGAAACACAUGUGCACGUCGACUGCAAAUCCACACACCUGUGCACUCUUGACUUUGGGAUCCGCUUGCUGGCUUGUCUGGCUUGCAGUUGGCCGGCUCUGGGGUUGGCCUGGAUCUCAGGGUAAUUUUUACAUACUCUUGCAUGUAUUGGAAUGUCUCUGUGCAUAAUGCGCAAACAAACAACUUUCAACAACGGAUCUCUUGGCUCUCGCACCGAUGAAGAACGCAGCGAAAUGCGAUAAGUAAUGUGAAUUGCAGAAUUCAGUGAAUCAUCGAAUCUUUGAACGCACCUUGCACCCUUUGGUAUUCCGAGGGGUACGCCCGUUUGAGUGUCAUUGUAAUCUCACUCCAACAGCCUUUGCCGGUUGUGGGAGGUGGACUUGGACUCUGUUGUGUCACUACAACUGGUCUGAAAUGCAUGGGUGUACCCUGCUGUUGCGGCGUCUUCAGUGUGAUAAGCAUCCUCACUGGACAAAGUUCCCUUCUUGGGACACGCACGUGCAAUGGGCUCUGCGCUUCCAACCGUCCUGCUUGCUGGACAAUCUUUGACAACUUGACCUCAAAUCGGGUGGGACUACCCGCUGAACUUAAGCAUAUCAAUAAGCGGAGGAAAAGAAACUAACAAGGAUUCCCCUAGUAACGGCGAGUGAAGAGGGAAAAGCUCAAAUUUUGAAUCUGGUGUCUUUGGCGCCCGAGUUGUAAUCUAGAGAAGUGUUUUCUGCCUCGGACCACACAUAAAUUCCCUGGAAUGGGGUGUCAUAGAGGGUGAGAAUCCCGUUUGUGGUGUGGACUACCUUGGCUCUGUGAUACACUCUCAACGAGUCGAGUUGUUUGGGAAUGCAGCUCAAAAUGGGUGGUAAAUUCCAUCUAAAGCUAAAUAUUGGCGAGAGACCGAUAGCGAACAAGUACCGUGAGGGAAAGAUGAAAAGCACUUUGGAAAGAGAGUGAAACAGUACGUGAAAUUGUUGGAAGGGAAGCGUUUGAAGUCAGUCACAUCUGUUGGGACUCAGCCUGGCUUUUGCCUGGUGUACUUCCUGGCGGAUGGGUCAGCGUCAGUUUUGACCGAGAGAGAAAGGCUCGGGGAAUGUGGCUGUCUUCGGGCAGUGUUAUAGCCCCUUGUUGUAUGUCUCGGUUGGGACUGAGGAUAGCAGCACGCCCUAUGGCCGGGGUCCGCCCUCGGUACGUGCUUAGGAUGCUGGCAUAAUGGCUUUAAGCGACCCGUCUUGAAACACGGACCAAGGAGUCUAACAUGUGCGCGAGUGUUUAGGUGUCAAACCUGGGCGCGUAAUGAAAGUGAAAGGUCGGGAUCAUGUACUUGUGCACCGACGCCCGGAGCAGACCUUCUGUGACGCAUCCGCGGUAGAGCGUAUAUGUUGGGACCCGAAAGAUGGUGAACUAUGCCUGAAUAGGGUGAAGCCAGAGGAAACUCUGGUGGAGGCUCGUAGCGAUUCUGACGUGCAAAUCGAUCGUCAAAUUUGGGUAUAGGGGCGAAAGACUAAUCGAACCAUCUAGUAGCUGGUUCCUGCCGAAGUUUCCCUCAGGAUAG
rnacentral:rRNA from 1 species